rnacentral:rRNA from 1 species
UAAGGAAUAUUGGUCAAUGGACGCAAGUCUGAACCAGCCAUGCCGCGUGAAGGAUUAAGGUCCUCUGGAUUGUAAACUUCUUUUAUCUGGGACGAAAAAAGGCGAUUCUUCGUCACUUGACGGUACCAGAUGAAUAAGCACCGGCUAACUCCGUGCCAGCAGCCGCGGUAAUACGGAGGGUGCAAGCGUUAUCCGGAUUCACUGGGUUUAAAGGGUGCGUAGGCGGGCAGGUAAGUCAGUGGUGAAAUCCUGGAGCUUAACUCCAGAACUGCCAUUGAUACUAUCUGUCUUGAAUAUUGUGGAGGUAAGCGGAAUAUGUCAUGUAGCGGUGAAAUGCUUAGAUAUGACAUAGAACACCUAUUGCGAAGGCAGCUUACUACGCAUAUAUUGACGCUGAGGCACGAAAGCGUGGGGAUCAAACAGGAUUAGAUACCCUGGUAGUCCACGCCCUAAACGAUGGAUACUCGACAUACGCGAUACACUGUGUGUGUCUGAGCGAAAGCAUUAAGUAUCCCCACCUGGGAAGUACGACCGCAAGGUCGAAACUCAAAGGAAUUGACGGGGUCAUAGCUGUUUCCUG